GAUGAACGCUGGCGGCGUGCCUAAUACAUGCAAGUCGAGCGAACAGACGAGGAGCUUGCUCCUCUGACGUUAGCGGCGGACGGGUGAGUAACACGUGGAUAACCUACCUAUAAGACUGGGAUAACUUCGGGAAACCGGAGCUAAUACCGGAUAAUAUAUUGAACCGCAUGGUUCAAUAGUGAAAGACGGUUUUGCUGUCACUUAUAGAUGGAUCCGCGCCGCAUUAGCUAGUUGGUAAGGUAACGGCUUACCAAGGCAACGAUGCGUAGCCGACCUGAGAGGGUGGUCGGCCACACUGGAACCGAGACACGGUCCAGACUCCUACGGGAGGCAGCAGUAGGGAAUCUUCCGCAAUGGGCGAAAGCUUGACGGAGCAACGCCGCGUGAGUGAUGAAGGUCUUCGGAUCGUAAAACUCUGUUAUUAGGGAAGAACAAAUGUGUAAGUAACUAUGCACGUCUUGACGGUACCUAAUCAGAAAGCCACGGCUAACUACGUG
rnacentral:rRNA from 1 species